UGAACACAGACUGUCGGUUGUGAGUCAACACAAGGGGCGAAAGUUCAGAUAACUCUCGUGUCUUUGUUGUGAAUGGAGGGAAAGACAACUUUCAGAGUUGAAGUUUGAAGUACUCCGCCCCCCAGUCUGUCUGUCUGCACCGGAGCUCCAGGCUGACUCCACACAGAUUGAAAUGAAUGCAGUCACAGAAACUUUUCCGGAUUUUGCUGCUUUGGUCCAUUGGUGGAAUUAUGGACAAUGAGGUCUUUCAAGCUUGUGGAGAACAUCUAUGCAGACACUGAGAUUUUCGAUCCUGUGGCUCUCAACAACCAUCAUCCAUUGACUGCAUACACAGUGGGAGGGAAGAUACUGGUGACCCCAAAAGUGUGCCUGCUGCAUUGAAGGGACGCAGAAUGGUCCAAGCUACGUAACGCAGGCUGCAUUGAGGUCAGCAUUAACCGGAGAAGAAGCGGUGAAGAUGAUGGUGCAGGUCCUUCUUUGAAGAGAGCAAAGCGAGGGGAGAUUAACUAUGUUCCUGACCACCCAGAUACCCAUACUGAUGACUCGCUGGAGGAGGAAAGACUAGCUCUGGUUGAGGAGUUAAAGAAGAGGAAUAAGAAUGUUGCACUCAUAAAGCAACAGAUGGAGGUGACAUUCUCCCUGAGGCGCAAGGAGAUUGUGGAGCUAGUGCCUAUGGUGUCAGAGGUUCAGGAGCGGUGGCCUGCUCUGUUUUACGAGGCAGAGAUCAGGGAAGAGUUUCUUCGGAUCACCAACAAGGACCUAAUAGACAACUUCGGAGCAGCCAUUAAUCAGCACACUCCUAGGCUCCUUAAACUCUAUCGGG